GGAGGAGUGGCAGAGCCCGGCUGAAUGCGGCGGUCUCGAAAACCGUUACCCUCGCAAGGGGGUCGAAGGUUCGAAUCCUUCCUCCUCCG
rnacentral:tRNA from 1 species